UAUAGGGAUGAAGAGCUUCGGCUCUGAAUAUCUAUGGCUAGAUAAAGUACAAGUCGUAACAAGGUUUCAGUUGGAGAACCAGCUGA
rnacentral:rRNA from 1 species